GGAAUAUUGCACAAUGGGCGCAAGCCUGAUGCAGCGACGCCGCGUGAGGGAUGACGGCCUUCGGGUUGUAAACCUCUUUCAGUAGGGAAGAAGCGAAAGUGACGGUACCUGCAGAAGAAGCGCCGGCUAACUACGUGCCAGCAGCCGCGGUAAUACGUAGGGCGCAAGCGUUAUCCGGAAUUAUUGGGCGUAAAGAGCUCGUAGGCGGUUUGUCGCGUCUGCUGUGAAAGACCGGGGCUCAACUCCGGUUCUGCAGUGGGUACGGGCAGACUAGAGUGCAGUAGGGGAGACUGGAAUUCCUGGUGUAGCGGUGAAAUGCGCAGAUAUCAGGAGGAACACCGAUGGCGAAGGCAGGUCUCUGGGCUGUAACUGACGCUGAGGAGCGAAAGCAUGGGGAGCGAACAGGAUUAGAUACCCCAG
rnacentral:rRNA from 1 species